CUGAAUUGUCAACAUGAAGUUGUUGCUGGCCCUCAGAUGGGGGUAUGUGCACGCUCUGUUUACACAUCCACUCACACCUGUGCACCCUCUGUAGUUCUAUGGUCUGGGGGCUCUGUCCUCCUGCUGUGGUUCUGCGUAUUUAUACAUACACACUGUAAUAAAGUCUCAUGGAAUGUAUGCCGCGUUUAACGCAAUGUAAUA
rnacentral:misc_RNA from 1 species